ensembl:lncRNA
GCUGCUGCUGCUGCUAAGUCACUUCAGUCGUGUCUGACUCUGUGCGACCCCAUAGAUGGCAGCCCACCAGGCUCCUCCUUCCCUGGGAUUCUCCAGUACAGGGGCAGAAACCUGGCCAGGGCAGGCCAUGGAGGCAGGAUUCAGUGGACGACUCAAACCCAGAGUCCUUCAUGAAUGGCUCUCUAGCCAUUCUCCACUCAGGAGCAUCUCCCAGGGAGAGUCCAGGUUAUAUUUAAGAAGACAGCAGAGGAAGAGGGAGAAGACUGCAAAUCAAGAGGCUUCUGAAAGAAAGGAGCUGCAAGGAAGACUGAGCACAGCCUCAGCAUCUUUUAGUUGUGGGGAUGAUAACAUACAGGGUAACCGUGGAAGCGCUGCAAGCCUUGUGUAGAAGAUGCUGGAGCCUUUGUCCCUCUGGGUCCCUGCCUGACUACAUGGAAUAGAAUUCUCUCCUGGCAGCCACUGGACUUCAUUGGAAUGCUUGGAAUGAUCUGGUUGCUCUUCUCUCUGCUAAGCUGCUGUGUUGUCCACCUCAGCAUGAAUCACCAACAAGAGGUCUGCUUCUGCUGCUACUAAGUCGCUGCAGUCGUGUCCGACUCUGUGCGACCCCAUAGAAGGCAGCCCACCAGGCUCCACCAUCUCUGGGAUUCUCCAGGCAAGAAUAUUGGAGUGGGUUGCCAUUUCCUUCUCCAAUGCAUAAAGUGAAAAGUCAAAGUGAAGUCACUCAGUUGUGUCCAACUCUUAGUGACCUCAUGGACAGCAGCCUACCAGGCUCCUCCGUCUAUGGGAUUUUCCAGUUUUGUUUUUUCAGUAGUCAUGUAUGGAUGUGAGAGUGGGACUAUAAAGAAAGCUGAGCGCUGAAGAAUUAAUGCUUUUGAACUGUGGCACUGGAGAAGAUUCUUGAGAGUCCCUUGGUCUGCAAGGAGAUCAAACCAGUAAAUCCUAAAGGAAAUCAGCCCUGAAUAUUCAUUGGAAGGACUGAUGCUCAAGCUGAAACUCCAAUACUUUGGCCACCUGAUGUGAAGAACUGACUCAUUUGAAAAGACCCAGAUGCUGGGAAAGAUUGAAGGUGGGAGGAGAAGGGGAUGACAGAGGAUGAGAUGGUUGGAUGGCAUCACCGACUCAAUGGACAUGAGUCUGAGUAAGCUCUGGGAGUUGCUGAUGGACAGGGAGGCCUGGUGUGCUGCAGUACACGGGGUUGCAAAAAUUUGGAUACGACUGAGCGACUGAACUGAACUGAGUUUGGUAACAAAUAUGAGAAUUAUAUAAUUUAAAUCUAAACUCUUGGUAUUUCUUUCUUUCUUUGGCAGUUUCAAAAGAGCUGUACCUUCUGUUAACUAUACAAAUCCUUUUUGAGAAUUACUAAAUCGAUAAUGUUCACAAGUUAUCCAAUUUCUCAUUACUCUUAGUUGUCAGUAUAAGAAAUCCCAUUUGAUUUAUCAUGUUAUAAUAUCUGAAACUCUGAUAGUUCAGUUCUGACAAAUUUUUAUUUUAUUUAAAAAUAUUGGAAUAAAGUAAAAUUU